rnacentral:rRNA from 1 species
GGGAUUUACUCCUGAGGUGGCGAGCGGCGGACGGGUGAGUAAUGCCUAGGGAUCAGCCCAGUCGAGGGGGAUAACAGUUGGAAACGACUGCUAAUACCGCAUACGCCCUACGGGGGAAAGGAGGGGACCUUCGGGCCUUCCGCGAUUGGAUGAACCUAGGUGGGAUUAGCUAGUUGGUGAGGUAAUGGCUCACCAAGGCGACGAUCCCUAGCUGUUCUGAGAGGAUGAUCAGCCACACUGGGACUGAGACACGGCCCAGACUCCUACGGGAGGCAGCAGUGGGGAAUAUUGCACAAUGGGGGAAACCCUGAUGCAGCCAUGCCGCGUGUGUGAAGAAGGCCUUCGGGUUGUAAAGCACUUUCAGUAGGGAGGAAAGGGUAAGUCUUAAUACGGCUUAUCUGUGACGUUACCUACAGAAGAAGGACCGGCUAACUCCGUGCCAGCAGCCGCGGUAAUACGGAGGGUCCGAGCGUUAAUCGGAAUUACUGGGCGUAAAGCGUGCGCAGGCGGUUUGUUAAGCGAGAUGUGAAAGCCCUGGGCUCAACCUAGGAAUCGCAUUUCGAACUGACAAACUAGAGUCUUGUAGAGGGGGGUAGAAUUCCAGGUGUAGCGGUGAAAUGCGUAAAGAUCUGGAGGA